ACUACACUUUGUAUUGGGGGAUAACCCGAAGAUGGAUACUCCAUACGAUCACAACACCAGUUGAGUUGCAAAAAGGAUAUGUGCCCCGGGGUAUAGAUGAGAGAGAAUUAGUAUCAGCAAUAAAUGAUGUUCAAACCAUUGCAAAUCGUGGCAUGGAAUUGGCUUGAGUAGGUACAUAUCCCGAAGCACAGGAUCAUGUAUCAAUAUAUCAGUCAAUAAUGCGGAGGCUUCACCAAGCCUUACACCGAACUCACGAAGAUCUUCAUGAUGGACGAGAGGUAACGCAAUUCGUAUACACACGUCAACCAUGACAAAAUCAAGGACGAUGCAGAAACGACAAUGAAGCUGAACCUUCCCAACGUGUUGACGAUGGAGCUGGACCGUCACAACGACAAACGCAACCGGAUCACGAACUCGUCGAAGAUCGGGGUGGAGGAGGACGAAGACAAAGGAGGAGGAUGAGAGUUCUUGGAUGUAUGUAAACUAAUCAUUAUUGUUAUAUACAUUACUAACAUAUUUUGGUA